rnacentral:rRNA from 1 species
GACGAACGCUGGCGGCGUGCUUAACACAUGCAAGUCGAACGGAAAGGCCCUGCUUUUGUGGGGUGCUCGAGUGGCGAACGGGUGAGUAACACGUGAGUAACCUGCCCUUGACUUUGGGAUAACUUCAGGAAACUGGGGCUAAUACCGGAUAGGAGCUCCUGCUGCAUGGUGGGGGUUGGAAAGUUUCGGCGGUUGGGGAUGGACUCGCGGCUUAUCAGCUUGUUGGUGGGGUAGUGGCUUACCAAGGCUUUGACGGGUAGCCGGCCUGAGAGGGUGACCGGCAACAUUGGGAAUGAGAGACGGCCCAGAAUACUACGGGAGGCAGCAGUGGGGAAUAUUGCACAAUGGGCGGAAGCCUGAUGCAGCAACGCAGCGUGCGGGAUGACGGCCUUCGGGUUGUAAACCGCUUUCGCCUGUGACGAAGCGUGAGUGACGGUAAUGGGUAAAGAAGCACCGGCUAACUACGUG